GACGAACGCUGGCGGCGUGCUUAACACAUGCAAGUCGAACGGCAAGGCCCUGCUUUUGUGGGGUGCUCGAGUGGCGAACGGGUGAGUAACACGUGAGUAACCUGCCCUUGACUUUGGGAUAACUUCAGGAAACUGGGGCUACUACCGGAUCGGAUCUCCUGCUGCAUGGUGGGGGUUGGAAAGUUUCGGCGGUUGGGGAUGGACUCGCGGCUUAUCAGCUUGUUGGUGGGGUAGUGGCUUACCAAGGCUUUGACGGGUAGCCGGCCUGAGAGGGUGACCGGCCACAUUGGGACUGAGAUACGGCCCAGACUGCUACGGGAGGCAGCAGUGGGGAAGAUUGCACAAUGGGCGGAAGCCUGAUGCAGCAACGCCGCGUGCGGGAUGACGGCCUUCGGGUUGUAAACCGCUUUCGCCUGUGACGAAGCGUGAGUGACGGUAAUGGGUAAAGAAGCACCGGCUAAAUACGUG
rnacentral:rRNA from 1 species